CCCCAGGUCACCCCGUGCGGGGUGAAGCGCAGGCGACCGCGCGGAGACCCGGGAUGCCCCUCCGUCUCCGCCUCCCUGGAGCAGCCCCUGGCGCUCCCUCCUCACUCCCCGGAGCACCCGCUUCAGCUCACACUCACCCCCAAACUCACAGGCAGGCACACCCACCCCAUCCUCCCACGUCUGGGGGUCCCAGGUCCAGCGGAGUCGAGCGGCUGAAACACGCGGGUGGUGCAGCCUAAACGCGGCCCAGCUGCGCUCCCUCCCCCGCCGAAGCUCGAAUAAAUCUCUGGCCUUCAAUUAUUCAGCGAGAUUAAUAUUAAUGCAGCUCCCUGGGGGCGGCGGGCGGGGUGCAGGGGAGGCCGGGAUUUUUUUUUUUUUUUUUUAGGCCGAGAGAGGUCGGCCUCGUGGGUGCCGGCUGAGAAGGCGCGGAGAGUUGGCCGAGGGGUGAGUGGCGGGGGACGGUUCUCCACCCACUCGGCGCUGCUCGCCGCCUGCUUCCGUGUCCCGGGGGCGGCGCACAGAGACAGAUGGGCUUGUGCAAGGGAGAGUUCGAGCCUUCCGGACGCCUUUGCAUAAAAAUGACGAGACCUGUGCAGCUUUGAUUAUCUCUGGAAUACUGCAGGAACCUAGGGUCCCACUACUUGCCGACCCUGUGAGCGCAGAGCAGGCAAAGCCUCACUUUCCUCGUCUAGGCAAUGGAACCCAAAAGAACUCACUUGGAGGGCCACAGGAGAAUUAAACAGACUCUCUUUUUCCCCGGGGUAGACGAUCUUCGGAUUUGCGCUGUGCUGGACCUUGUUAGACGAUGGAACGCGACCGGCCACGUGCAAACUCUCUGAGUAGGUCCCGGGGAUGGUGCCAGAGGAGCCGGAGUCCCAGCAGGACCGAUUGGUAGUUAAAUGCCAGGCGCUGAUAUCCGAAGGCUUGAGUUCUUCACCACCUUCUAGCUGAGUAACCUGGGGCAAAUUCCUCCAUCUCUCUCUUCAUCCCACCUGUAAAAUGGGACUAUCUUCUCCCACUUCUCUGUGCUAAGAGAACUGUAAUUGAACAAGUGGGAUUUUUUUGCUCCUUGCAAUGAGGUAGGAUGCACAUCAUGGUGAACCAAGGGGUGCCUCAUCAAG
rnacentral:lncRNA from 1 species